rnacentral:lncRNA from 10 species
AUGGAAAGGGCCCUGAGGAGGAAUGUGGGGUUGAGCUGGUAAGUGGUAUGACAUUUCUACCCAUUCUUACUAUGCCAUCUACCUUGGACACAGGAAGCUUUCACUGAGUAGGAGUAAGAGACAAGAGUCUCUUCUGCGUUCUGCAGUCUGUCUUCUACAUCUGUUCUCUGAAACCACCCAGAGCAUUAGCCUUUAUCUUCAACUCUAACACCUCUCUCUCAAAUAGUUCUUUGUAAGCCCAUAUGGGGAUGAAAAUUUGCUAUAAUACACUACAGCAGGGGCAAUGAACAACCAGUGAUGUUUUAGAAUAGAGAUGUAAAAACUUAACAUAAUGAUUAUACAAAAUGGUGCUGCUAUUAUGACUAAAAACAAUAGUGGCUAACAUUUAUGGAGCCCAUACUACCUAGUAGGCACUCACUUAUGAACUCAUCAAGUCUUUAUGACAAUGCUAUGAGAAAGGUACUGUUAUUAUUUCCAUCUUAUUAAUGAGGAAACUGAUACAUAGAAACAUUCAGCAACUUGCCCGAGAUCACAUAGCCAAUAAAUGGAAGGUCAGAAUUUGGGAACCUAAGUAUCUAACUCUAAGAUCCUACCACUUUAAAUGUCUUCUAUUGUAUUUGAGGCAGAUCAAUAUUUAAUACUGAACACUAACUUAUGUUCUUAUUUGUUUAGAAUCUCUGCUUUCAAGAGGAGAGUUGGCCCUGAGAUCCAUUUCAAAGGUUCAAGUGAUCCUUCCACCUCACCCUCCUGAAUGGCUGUGAGUACAGGCACUCACCACCACUUCUGGCUUUAUUUUUAUUUUUGGUAACAACGGGGUUUCACCAUGUUGCCCAGGCUGGUCUCAAAUUCCUGAGCUCAAGCAAUCUGCCCACCUUGGCCUCCCAAAAUGCUGGGAUUACAGGUGAGCCAUCGCUCCUAGCCUUCUUUGAUUCUUUUAAGAAAAUGAGUUUAGCAAUUAGAAUUGUUAUGAAUAGACUAAUUCGUUACUGGAAAUGCUGUUACUGGAAUUGGAAGUUGUAG